CGCCUUGCUCCGCCCGGCCGGAAGUCACGCCGCUACCCUUUCCAGUUGGAUGCCAUCUUUGCUGAGGACACGCAGCUGGCUGGAAGUCACGCUGGCUGUUCCUUUCCGGACGGGUGCCGUCUUUGCUGAGGGCGCGCAGUAGGCGACGGGGAGCGGAGAGGAGAGCGUUGGACAAUGGGGGGGGGGGGGAGUGAGGGGAGGGGAACAAGGAUCCCCGUUAGCGGCAGUCGGAGGCUCGGCGCCCUCCGGCCUGCACCCCAGCGUGUGGGGUGGCUCUGGGGUGGACGGCGUCUAGGGCGGCCUGAGGUCCUGCAGGCAGUUUGCCCACAUCUUGCCGGAUUUUUUUUUUUUUUAAUAUGGAAUUUUAUGUGCAAUCUUCUGAUUUUUGAGAGUGUUGACGUUUAAUUUUGAAAAAAAUUAAAGUGCGGGUAAGCCAAGCACACGAGGCACCUGCAGUCCGUGUGCGGGCUUGAUCUCCCUUCCUGCCACGCUUUUUCACUUUCUCUGAAUUAGUAAUUGCUUUGUUUUCUGUUGUUGGAUUAAGAUUCCACGUGUUUAUUGAUUUGGGAAACAAAGGCAAGUGAAAAAUCAAAUUCCCUUACUGCCUGUGGACAAGUCCUUGAAACAGGCAGAGUGACCUCUCUCUCCCUCCUUCCUUCCCUCCCUUCCUUCCCUCCCUUCCUUCCCUCCUUCCCUCCCUCCUUCUCUCCCUCCCUUCCUUCCUUCUUCUUUUUAAUUUGUUUUGUUUUUAAUUUCUAAAAGCUUGUGUCUUGUCAUGAUUUCUGAUAUUUCUCAAUGAUGCAAGUCUCCAUCCUGAGCGCCUGAUGGGCCCUCAGCCUAAAAGCACUUGUCUUUGGGCUGGAGUUCGUUGUUGUUUAUUUGUAUUCCCUUUCUUCCAUUUUCUCUAAUCUGGCUUUCCAAAAUGCCCACGUUUGAAUACUGGCUCUUGUACACCAAUUUCUGGUUUUCCCAUCCUGUCUUUGUUAUUCUUUAUUUCUUUGCUCGACCUUCUGAGCUAUUUCCUCCUUAGCUUCCGGCUCUUCUCCUGAAGGUUCCUGUCAACACGUGUUUCUUUACCAAGAGCUCCUUUUUUGGCUUCUGAAUGUUUCUUUUUACAGUUGUUUUUUUUUUUUCUUCACUAUUGCGAUCUUUUGUCUUACUCCUGUAAGGAUUUCGAUGAUAGGGGUUUCCCCCCUGAGUUUUUCUUCUCCCUGUUUACUUGCUGUUAUUUUUUUCCUCUUGCUGUUAUUGUUCGUACUGUUUUGGUUUCUGUUCUCAGAUGUAAGGGUGGCGGAGAAGGAGCUCUCAUCUGUGCUGGUUGGAACUGCAACAUGGUGCCGUCACUUUUGAAGUUUACUAGUUUUUGUUUUGUUUGUUUUUUACAAAACUAAGCAUACUCUUACUGUCCAAUGGGCUGAAUGUUUUCUGUCCUCCAGGUUCAUACGUGGAAGCUAAUGACAGUGCUAGGAGGUGGGGUGUUUGGGAGGUCACUGGGUCAUGAGAGUGGAGGCUUCAGAAGAAACCCCAGAGAGCCCCUGGCUGUUCCACCACGUGAGAACCCAGCGAGAAGUCUAUACUACAGGACAGACAGCCCCCCUCCACCGUGCCGGCAUCCUGACCUCAGAGUUCCAGCCUCCAGAAGUGUGAGAAACAGGUUUCUGUUGUUUUGUGGCUCGGUGUUCGGGACAGCAGCGCCCUGUCGGAUGAUGUCCCCGGCCUCCUGUGGCUGGUUCAUCAGCAAACUCCUGGCCGCUGCCCGGAGACGGUUCUUCUCCUCAGUGUGCAACAACGUGAUGUGCACAUCUUGCCAGAUCUUGCAAUCCGAAUUGAUUCCAGUGGGUUCAAAGGCAUCCCGAAGGAGAGUCCUUGGGGACUGAAGAAGAGCCCAUGUUCCUGGGAGAGUAGAGAAGGCCAAGAAUUUUUACCCAGAAUCCUCCCUGACUCCCGGGUGGCAUCUCACGUGGGAUACGUCAGAGGUUCCUGGUGUCAGAUGUGGUAGGGUCUCCUCCCUAAGGAAUGUGGUGAGAAAAGGCCUCAAGAUAAGGGAAGGCAACCUGGCUGUGUGCCUACGUGACAUUCCUCAUGACCCAGUCUGUACCUGACAUCCCGCCUGCCCCUGUAACAUGAGACCCACUCACACUGUAUGUCUACACCUUCCCCACGUGUGGCAAAGAAGUAGGAAAUGCACAAAACGCUACACCUCACUGCGCUCGGGGCUCAGCUCUUCGGGUACGAACCGGUGGAGCCACGCCAGCAUGAAUAACGUUGCUUCCUGGAAAGAAAUGUCUCGGUGUCACAACUCUCUGUGUGAACCUUGGUCCUGUUACAAAAAUGACCCAAAGCGUCCCUCAAAUGAAGUUGCUACAAUCUCUGACCAGCCACUAAGGCCCCAGAGAAGAGAUGCUAGCAUCCCCCAUCUUCCCAAUAGCAUUCUAGACUCCAGAUGGGCACCGGCAUAGGGACCAAAAAACUGUGCCUUGUCUUGCCUUUUUUAACUCAUGGAAAACACUAGAAAAGCUUUACAAGAGGAACUUACCCAAUUUUGUAACUGUAGUAGUCAGUAAGGGACACCGAUGACAAACCGAAGACAGAAAUCCAUCAUGAUCUAAGUGACAUUCCCGCACAUGGAGACUCUAUAGCCGACUUCCUAGGAAACCAUCCCCGGUUGGGUUUUACUUCAAUCUGGCACUGGUUUCGGCCGGCUCCCAGUGGAGGUCCUGCAGCCAGAAGUGUCUAGACCAGAUGUGGGGGCCGGGGUGGGGGAUCAUGUGAAACCAAUGAGGAUGAAACCUCACACAGGAGUCUUAAGAUUGGCAGCUGUCCUGGUGACUUCGGUGGCUGUCCCAUGCCCAAGACAGACAACUCUGUAGAAGGACAGGAAUAAAGAGAGGGCAUCGAGUUCCUGGGUCUUAUUACCAUUCCGGCCAGGGCACUAACUUCCAGCCAAAAGUCAGGCUUUCUCCUCCCCAUGGAGUAGCCACGGGCUCAAGGACUGCAUCUGGAGGGAUCGACAGGAAAGUGUGCCAAUAAGACCACACUCCCUGAAAAUAUCCUGGAAAGAAAGUAAAGGGAGAGAGAGGAAUUACUCACCGAGUUUGCACCGACACUGAGUGCAGAUGAAAAUACUCGACGCUCUGCAUUCAGGUGCCAAAAUGAUGAGAUUAUGAACUGGGGUUCAUGAGCCAAUGGCUAAGCAAGAAUUCUUGAGACGUUUUUGAUGCAAAAAGGUGACUUUAUUACAGCACGGACGCAGGACCCACGGGCAGAGAGAGCUGCGCUGGGUUGUGAGGGGAGGCAGAUUACAUACUUUUAAGUUAGUGGAGGGAGGGGGGUAGACUUAAAGUCUGUCUCUGAGGAAUCGGAAGCAAGGCUUCCAGGACCUUGAGGGGCUGGUGCCGCGAAGAUAAGGUUACUUCCGGUCUUUAAUGAGACAAAAACAUUAAGGCACCAGGGGUGCCGUGCCUUCCUCCAGGAAGGUGACCCUCCGCACGCAUCAGGUGUCUGGGAAGGUGACCCUCUGCAUGUGUCACGUGUCCGGCAGUGGGCGGUGAGCUGUGAGGUUUCAUUGAAGCUGCAUUUCUCUUGCCUGUGUUUCCUUCCUCACUGUGUGCAGAGAAUUACACACCAGGAGCGAGUGGGGUGUGUUCCAGGGACCCCAGGCUGUUUCAGGGUGUGAAAACCAAUCCGUGUAAUCUACUGUAUUAACAGAGUAAAGAAGAAAAAUCGGGAUGGAAACUCUUGGAAAGUUAAGAAUAGAAGAGAACUUCCUGGACUUGAUAACAUUUAUCACACAAUUCCUGUCAGAAUCCCAGAAGGAUAUUUGGAAGUCAUAGACAAGGUCCGUCUAAAAUUUUCCAUUGGAAGGCAAAAUGACCCUAAUAGCAACAACAGUUUUGGGCAAGAAUCCAGAGGGAGGAAGCUGUCUACCUGCUCGAGGAUGCCUGCAGCUGUAGCAGUUGGGAUGGUGUGGAUGGACCAAGGGACAGACAUAUGGACGGUAGACAGAACACAGCAUGCAUGGGUAGCCCCGCACAGACACGGCCAACCGACCCUUUGACAAAAGUGUGAAACCAGUUCCGUGGAAGGAAGGGGGAUCUUUUCAGCUGAUGGUGCUGGAACGAGACUGCCCCCUAAAACUAUUGGGACUAAUCAGCAACUUCAGUAAAAGUGCAGGAUACACAGUCAACAUAGAGAAGUCAGUUGUGUUUCUAUAUGCUAAGCACGAAAUGUCUGACAAAUAAACAGAACAAUCCCAUUUACAAUAGCAUCCAAAGCAAUAAAUCACUCAGGAAUACAUUUACCCAAGGAGGUGAAAAAGUUUUAUACUGAAAACUGUAACACUUUAUGGGCGCCUGGGUGGCUCAGUCGGUUGAGUGUCUGACUUCGGCCCAGGUCAUGAUCUCAUGGCUUGUGGGUUCGAGUCCUGUUUUGGGCUCUGUGCUGACAUCUCGGAGCCUGGAGCCUGCUUUGGAUUCUCUGUCUCCCUCUCUCUCUGCCCCUCCCCCACUUGCACUCUGUCUCUGUCUCUCUCUAAAAAAUAAAUAGACAUUAAAAAAAGAAAAAGGAUUUCUUAGAAGUAUCCUGUGUGGGGGCGCCUGGGUGGCUUAGUUGGUUGAGCGUUCUGAUCUCAGGUCAUGAUCUCAUAGUUUUGGCUCAGGUCAUGAUCUCAUAGUUUGUGAGUUUGAGCCCCGCAUUGUGCUCUGUGCUAACAGCUUGAAGCCCGGAGCCUGCUUUAGAUUCUGUGUCUCCCUCUCUCUCUGUCCCUCUCCUGCUCAUGCUCUGUCUCUCAAAAAUACAUAAAUUAAAAAAAUUUUUUUUAAAGUAAAAAAAAAAAUCACUGAACAUGGGUUAGACACUUAAACAUGGGACCUGAGACUGUAAAAUUCCUAGCAGAAAACAUAGAUAGGAGAAAAAUUCCUUGGCGAGCGCCCUGGCAAUGUUUUGGUUGUGACAUGAAAGCACCAGCAACCGAAGCAGAAAUUCGCUGCACUGAACAGAAAGCUUCUGCACAGCGAGGGAGACCAUCCACACGGCGAGAAGGCAGCCCACAGGACAGCAGUUCCCCUUCUGGGAGCAGGAGGGCAUGGGGGAGCCGGUGCUGCAGACCGGCCCCCAGCCACGAUCUGCUGUGCCCUGUGCUCCUACGCCACAGGCUUUCCUGGAAGGCCCAGGACGCCUAAAAGCUUGGGAGUCCUUCAAGACUGUCAGGACUCUCCUCUCCCCUGAGACUCAGGGUUAACCUUGGGAUUUUCAUUGGGGGUUGCGCUGACUCUGGAAAUCAAUUUGGGAACAAUUAACACCCACGAUAAUUGAAUUUUUCAAUCCAUAAACACAUAUUUUUAGGUCUUUAAAGUUUUUCAUUAAAGUUUUGUUUAUUUAUUUUUUUCAAAUUACAUUUUCAACUUGUUAUUUUUGAUCCAGAGAGAUCCCCUGGGCCCUUCAUCAGGCUGCCCCCUAUGACCUAUUUUGGGUGGAAUUUUCUAUAUAUAAGAUAAUAUCGUCUGUAAACAGGAAAUUUCACUUUUUGCUUUCUGAUUUGGAUGUCUUUUAUUUUUUUUUCUUGCCUAAUUGCUUUGGCUAGAACUUCCAGUACCGUGUUGGAUACAAGUGGUGAGAGUGGUUGUCUGUCUCUUGUUCCUGAUCUUAGAGGAAAAGUCUUCAACCUUUCACUGGAAGCUCCAUGUGCUCUCAAGAAGAAUGCUGUUGUGCUGCUGUUGGAUGGAUGUCCUGUACGUGUCUGUCGGGUCCAUGUGAUCUAAAGUAUAGUUCAAAUCCAGGGUCGUGACGAUUGUGGGAAUGACAACAGAGGACCCAGGAUAUCAUGUGGACUUCAUGGAGGGGGCUGCAGCAGGGUCUGAGCAAUUUUGAAAGAAGUUCUGUGGGUAAAAUGUUGUCAAACGGCACCACACGCCAAAGAGAAAACUUUGGUGAAAGGAAGAGAACAUCAGUGCAGUGAACUUCCCUGUUGUCUUAUUCUGAGCAGUGGCCACGGCCACCCCGGCCUUCAGCUGCCACCACCCUGAUAGGUCGGCAGCCGCCAGCCUCGGGCAGAACCCCCGCCAGCAAAAAGAUGAUGACUUACCGGAAGCUCAGAGGAUGGUUAGCACAUUUUAGCCAUAAAGUGCUUUUAACAGUUGUUUUCUUUUAAUUUUAGAGAGAGACACUGUGAGGGCAGGGGAGAGGGGCAGAGAGAGAUAGAGAGAGACUCUUAAGCAGUCUCCAUGCUCAGGGUGGAGCCUGGCAUGGGGCCCGGUGCCACGACCCUGGGAUCAUGACCUGAGCCAAAAUCAAGAGUCAGGCGCUCAACUGACUGAGCCACCCGGGCAACCUGCAAUAAAGUAUUUUAUUUAAAAAAAUUAAAAAAAUGUUUUAUUUAUUUUUGAGAGAGAGAGAGAGAGAGUAUAAGCAG